rnacentral:rRNA from 1 species
UACGGAGGGGGCUAGCGUUGUUCGGAAUUACUGGGCGUAAAGCGCACGUAGGCGGACCAGCAAGUUAGGGGUGAAAUCCCGGGGCUCAACCCCGGAACUGCCUUUAAAACUGUUGGUCUGGAGGUCGAGAGAGGUGAGUGGAAUUCCGAGUGUAGAGGUGGAAUUCGUAGAUAUUCGGAGGAACACCAGUGGCGAAGGCGGCUCACUGGCUCGAUACUGACGCUGAGGUGCGAAAGCGUGGGGAGCAAACAGG